AGUGAACGCUGGCGAUAGGCCUAACACAUGCAAGUCGAACGGCAGCACAGGAGAGCUUGCUCUCUGGGUGGCGAGUGGCGGACGGGUGAGGAAUACAUCGGAAUCUACCUUUUCGUGGGGGAUAACGUGGGAAGCUUACGCUAAUACCGCAUACGACCUACGGGUGAAAGUGGGGGACCGCAAGGCCUCACGCGAUUAGAUGAGCCGAUGUCCGAUUAGCUAGUUGGCGGGGUAAUGGCCCACCAAGGCGACGAUCGGUAGCUGGUCUGAGAGGAUGAUCAGCCACACUGGAACUGAGACACGGUCCAGACUCCUACGGGAGGCAGCAGUGGGGAAUAUUGGACAAUGGGCGCAAGCCUGAUCCAGCCAUACCGCGUGGGUGAAGAAGGCCUUCGGGUUGUAAAGCCCUUUUGUUGGGAAAGAAAUCCUGUCGAUUAAUACUCGGUGGGGAUGACGGUACCCAAAGAAUAAGCACCGGCUAACUUCGUGCCAGCCGCCGCGGUAAAAC
rnacentral:rRNA from 1 species